rnacentral:rRNA from 1 species
UGUCCCUACGGGACGCAGCAGUGGGGAAUAUUGCACAAUGGGGGGAACCCUGAUGCAGCGACGCCGCGUGAGUGAAGAAGCAUUUCGGUAUGUAAAGCUCUAUCAGCAGGGCAGAAGAUGACGGUACCUGACUAAGAAGCCCCGGCUAACUACGUGCCAGCAGCCGCGGUAAUACGUAGGGGGCAAGCGUUAUCCGGAUUCACUGGGCGUAAAGGGAGCGCAGGCGGCACGGCAAGUCUGGUGUGAAAACCCGGGGCUCAACCCCGGGACUGCACUGGCACCUGCCGGGCUGGAGUGUCGGAGGG